CUCGCUUCGAACCCAGCCAUUCCCAUCCUGGCACGCCACUUCCCCGAAACCUCGCAUCUUUCCACUCGGUCUCUACCCUCACAAGCUAAGGAAUUGGCUAGCUUGCGACCGAGUCCUUCUUCCACCUUGACCCUGUCUGAAUGAUGUCGUUGCACGGUUGAGUCGAUGGAGUCAAAGAGCGAACUGUAGUAGGUGCAGGACUCGGUCACCCGUGCUACGAAGGGUGCGGUGUUCAUGUUCAAUUCUUGCUCCAUUACCGUCACCACUGUGGGUGCUAAUGACUUGACACGGCGGAGGAGCUCGUCGCGGGGAUUUUCU
rnacentral:lncRNA from 1 species